AUUGAACGCUGGCGGCAGGCCUAACACAUGCAAGUCGAGCGAGCGGCGGACGGGGGAGUAAUGUAUGGGGACUGCCCGAUAGAGGGGGAUAACUACUGGAGAAGGUAACUAAUCCCGCAUCCUAUCGGAUUAACCAUAUGGGGUUAGCUAGUAGGUGAGGUAAUGGCUCACCUAGGCGACGAGCCCUAGCUGGUCUGCGAGGAUGAUCAGCCACACUGGGACUGAGACACGGCCCAGACUCCUACGGAGGCAGCAGUGGGGAAUAUUGCACAAUGGGCGCAAGCCUGAUGCAGCCAUGCCGCGUGUAUGAAGAAGGCCCUAGGGUUGUAAAGUACUUUCAGUCGGGAGGCGUUACCGACAGAAGAAGCACCGGCUAACUCCGUGCCAGCAGCCGCGGUAAUUC
rnacentral:rRNA from 1 species